UGAGGGCCCUUAGAUCUAGAUUUUAAUGGAUGAGAUUAGACCAUGUUAUAUUAAUUUCGCUCCUUCAUUAGGUACACAAUUUACUUCAAACCGGGGAUAUUUAGGUAAAAUUGCAUUUAGGAUAAAAAUUUCAUGGUUUACUUUCCAUACUCAUUCCCGCUGCUGCACCUCCAAAAAUAUUUACCCUUCUUUCUCAUUUCCCGAUCCUCUUCUUCUGCAAAUCAACGCUCCAACGCUGCUUCUUCUGCCAAAAUUGACGCUUCCACAUCUUCUUCUGCAAAUCGACGACAUCAUCGUCUACCUCUAUCGAUGACAUCGCCAGCUGAUUCAACUAUAGUUGAUUCACCCCUGAUUCAUCCCCAAUCCACUGAUUCGAAAUGGUUGACACAGGCCAAUCGUCGACCGAAGGUAAUCGACGGCUGUUGCGUUCUGGCCGAACGUCUAGUGAAGUAAUAAAAUUCCACUCGAAGCUAAGUCUCUGUCAUCUCCUUCGCGCUGCAUCUACUCACCGUGUUCGUUGCUGCUGUCGAGUCACCACCGUGGACAGAACCGCCUCGCCGCUGUUUCUAAGGUGGUCAUCUUAAAUGGGACGGAGGGAGUACUAGAAUGAAGUAAUAAACCUAUUGGAAUGAAGUACAAGUCUACUGAAAUGAAGUAAUACCUACUGGACGUUGUUACGGUAUUCAUAUGAUGUACUAUUGUAUAGUUUGUUGCCGUUUAAAUUUUUGGAUGUAAAACAAAAUCUCAUUUCAAAAGCACAUAAUGAAGUAAUACCUAGUAGAAACAAAUUACUUCAUAUUGAUCUGUUUAUUACUACAAGCGUGAAAAAAUUGAACAAAACCUACCUAGUAAUGCUAAUAUUACUUCAUUCAA